CCCCCCCCUUAUCUCAGGCCCCAGCUGACCGCAAAUAACUGACAGCGCCCAGUGCUGACCAGGAGGAACUAGGCGAUACUGGUUGCAACUGGUGAGGCCAGAAACAGGCAUGAGGUCAGCAAAAAGGGGUAUAUUUUCCCCAACAGGGCAUGAGGUCAGCAAAAAAAGUACAUCUCCACACCAAAUAUCGUAUGACCAUGAGUCAAACUCCCGUGCCCAUAAAUAGCACUGCAACCUAGAGCCCAUUGAGCUCUCCUGCAUGGCAGCGGGCUGCACGGUGGUGAAUCUCCCCUUGAGUUGGGAUGCCUCUCAAGGUUACUCUCCAGGAGUUAAGAGAACCUCUGACAAGAAACCAUUGGAGAGGGGCUCAGAUGUCCACCCUCUCAAAGGUGGCAGCAAAGAGGGCAGGAGGCACCGAGUCCGACUACUCGGAUACACCGGUGGAAGCAAGGUGCGCCUGGUAGCAAGAGCUUAUCUGCAUCUCCUCGACGAGAAGCAAGCAACCCUGUGCCAGCUGGCUGUCACCGAGAGCGGGGACAAUGUCUUGGGAUUUGGUGUAUUGAAUGGCAGGCAGUGCAAGAAUACCGGAGUAGAAGUCGUCUCUGGCUUACUAAAGCUACCCAUGCUCCUCUGCGAAUGGCAAAAACACAGUGAAGGGACUUUUGGGAUGGUUCUCAAGCUUACCAACACCUGAGAACAUUCAAAGCGAUAACAGUAGUCAUUUUACUGCCACAAUAGUACAGAAUUGGGCAAAGGAACAAGGGAUCCAAUGGACGCUCCAUACACCUUAUUACCCACAUGCCAACGGUCUGAUAGAGCGAGACAAUGGCCUGCUCAAAUGUAUAUUGGAAGUACAUCGACCAAAUUGGGGAAAACAGUUAUGGGAAACUGCGGGAGAUUCCGUUUCCCACGACUCCCACGCGUUCCCGGCCGCUUACCUCCAUCCAGCGGUAGUUAACCUGUUGCGCGCAAUGCCGCUUCCUUGUGUUUUUCAGCUGCUCGGGGCGAUCCGGGGGGGCUUCCCGGAGUUGAAGGUGGCAGAGACGGAUAUAAUCUAGCCGGUCUCUCCAGGUUAUCCCGUUCCUCCUUAUCGACUUCGGUGUCCGAGUCGACUACCGACGCCGCUCCUUUUUCACCGGGCUCGCUCCCUUUUGAUCCACCGUCCCGAGACUUUCGAGUCCUCCUUAACUUUAAUUCUUCACUUUGGGGUGACGUCAAAGGCACGGGUGGCUGAGGUGGCUGAGACGGAGUGGAUUGAUGGUCCGCCGGCGCCGGACCUGGUAUUGUCACAGGCGAAAAUAAUUCACCAGAGGCAGAUCCUGCUGCCGGUGAUAACGCUGCGAAAGCAGAAGCUGCUGCUGCUCGCUCACUUUUCAUUUCUUGUAAAGUCUCUUUUAUGAGUCGCCACAAUGUAGCCAAUCGAAUUGCUUCUUUUGAACCCUUGCUAAUUUCUUCCCAAAGGGCACCUCCGAUAUUCUCCCAGGUGGGUAGUUCAAAAGCAACGCCCACUCCUGGUAUCAAGCCUCUAUCCCGGGCCCAUUUCAACAAAGUUUUUAAUGUCCCAUUGUCAUAUGUUAACCCUCUCUUAGAAAGGAUAUGUUGGAGGAGCUUUACCACCGCCGCUUCUUCCUUGGACAGUGAAACUCCCAUCUCCUCCCCGACCGCUCACCUGUGCUAGGCGAGAUUCCACCGUAACCCUCGCGAUCCCUGUCGCGGCUUCGCACUCCUUUGACGCGGCUUACCUUCGUGAUACCUGUCGCGGCUUCGUGUCCCUUUGACGCGGCUUUCCCGCUCACCCUCCUGUUCCAGCUGUCUUUAUUGCUCAAUCAAGCAACAGCAAGAGGGUCCCUGUUCAGGCGCCAGUUGCGGGAGAUAAACGGACAGCACACCAAUCAAUAUGAUUAAAUGCUGACACUUUA